AGUUCCCCUUCCCGGGAACAAGGAGCUGGUAUCAGGCACAUUUUAAUUAUCGCCCACGACACCUUGCUCAGCCACACCCCCAAGGGAAUUCAGCAGUGAUAAACAUUAAGCUAUAAGUGAAAACUUGACUUAGUUACAGCUAUAAGGGCCGGUAAAACUCGUGCCAGCCACCGCGGUUAUACGAGAGGCCCAAGUUGAUAGACAUCGGCGUAAAGAGUGGUUAAGUAAUCCCCCCCACUAAAGCCGAACGCCUCCAAGACUGUAAUACGUGUUCGGAGGUAUGAAGCCCAACUACGAAAGUGGCUUUAAAAAAACUGACCCCACGAAAGCUGAGAAACAAACUGGGAUUAGAUACCCCACUAUGCUCAGCCCUAAACUUUGAUAGUUCAAUUACACUCGCUAUCCGCCCGGGUACUACGAGCUCCGGCUUAAAACCCAAAGGACUUGGCGGUGCUUAAGAUCCACCUAGAGGAGCCUGUUCUAGAACCGAUACUCCCCGUUAAACCUCACCCUUUCUUGUCCUUACC
rnacentral:rRNA from 1 species